rnacentral:lncRNA from 1 species
AACUUUAUAGGGAAAAGCUCAGAAUUAAUGAAGAAAUAAAACUUCUAAAACAGCAGCAGGAAAGAAUUGACAAGGAGCUUGAUAGACUCCAAGCAAAGGCUACCAAGAAACCUCAUGAAGUGAAACAGGACUUUGAGAAGUUCCUACAUAAACUGCGUUCCGAAGCUGAAAUUGAGAGAGAAUGUGUGGCAUCACUAUCGUCAUCAUCAUCAUCAUCACCAUCAUCAACAGACAACUACAACUUUGAGGAAGAAGAAUACUAAGAGAAACCAGAAAUGAACUCUAUUCAAGAAUAAUGCAUACAAUUCAGUGGUAUCAGUUUAAUUGUAACAAUAUAUUUAAUUCAAGUCCAAUCCAUGUAAUCAGUAUUAAGAGUGUGUUUUACCAUUCAUCUUUAAAAUCUUCAAAUCAAUAAAUCUCAGUAAGUUAUUCUUAAAA